GAGGCUGAGCUCUAGCAACAUCCCGGAAUUGAUACAAAAUAAAUUAUUUAGGGGGCUACGAGAGGAGCAAUUUACAAACUGAUAAAGGACCCCAAGUAUGUGACCGGCAAGCCCAAGGCUUCUGUGUUUCCCGGAGAGCGCCUGGAGGAUCUGCACUGCGUCUCUGAAGGACUACUAGGACAGACCUGACCAAAAGUCUCACUCACCGAGCUCUCUGACCACCCUGGGGUGUCUACACACCGUUCCUCCCAUGAGAGCAGCUCCUUGUUCAGAGAGCUCUCCAUAUCACCUUGGGUUCUGGAAACCAAACAAGUCCUCUGCAAGAACCGCCAGUGCUCCUAACAGAAAUGGGUCAUUUUCAUGAGGCCAUUGGCAGAUUCCUCUUCGGCCAUUGUUCUUAUGGGGCUGCUUUGCCUGUGGCUUCCUGCACUCAGAAGCACCCCACAUUGUACCCCACAUUGCACAGUCUCAAAACAGUUUCACUUUCAA
rnacentral:lncRNA from 1 species